rnacentral:lncRNA from 1 species
GAAUUUAUACAGCGAGGAGGUGGAAGAACAAUUUACCUUUUCCGGGCAGCAGAAUGAAAUUGGUGGAGAUGAAAGCUUUUGGUUGCCAAGAUGUUCUAGGUAUCUACAGGAGGAAGAUUUUAUUGUUCAAUUUUUGUAGAAUUAGGGGAAGAUUACAAUGAAAGGAAAAAGAACUUGGGAGGGGUUUGCACAGAGAAGAGAAACGUGAAAGGAGCUGAAAGCUUCUAAGUGAAAAUAAAAGAAUAAAAAUCUAAUUUUAUUUUAUUUUAUUUUUCUUAAAU